UACGUAGGGUGCGAGCGUUAAUCGGAAUUACUGGGCGUAAAGCGUGCGCAGGCGGUUUUGUAAGCCAGAUGUGAAAUCCCCGGGCUUAACCUGGGAAUGGCAUUUGGGACUGCAAGGCUCGAGUGCGGCAGAGGAGACUGGAAUUCUCGGUGUAGCGGUGAAAUGCGUAGAUAUCGAGAGGAACACCUGCGGCGAAGGCGGGUUGCUGGGCUGAUACUGACGCUGAGGCGCGAAAGCCAGGGGAGCGAACAGG
rnacentral:rRNA from 1 species